rnacentral:SRP_RNA from 1 species
GCCGGGCAUGGUGGCACUUGCCUGUAGUCUCAGCUAUUUGGGUGGCUGUGGCUGGAGGAUCACUUGCACCCAGGAGUUCUGGAUGGUAGUGUGCUAUGCUGAUCGGGUGUCCGCACUAAGUUCGGCAUCAAUAUGGUGACCUCCUGGGAGCAGGGGACCACCAGGUUGCCUAAGGAGGGGUGAACCAGCCCAGGUCAGAAAUGGAGCAGGUCAAAACUCCCGUGCUGAUUAGUAAUGGGAUCGUGCCUGUGAAUAGCCACUGCACUCUAGCCUGGGCAACAUAGAAAGACCCAGUAAAAA